CUUAGGGAUUUCGUCUGUUGUGAUGUGUGAUGCUGCGGUGGUGGCUUUUUGGUGAAGACGAGAUGUAAAUUUGGAGGGGAGAAUAUUACGAGGAAACGUGAAAGGGUCGUGGUCGUCGUGCUACCGUCAACUAUUUUUUUCAAAAUUUUGUUCAAAAUCAUUGUAUUCUACUGAAUGUGCCAUCAAAAUGAUACUGGAGUCCUAAAUUGUAUUGGACUUGCUAGACCACCAACCCCAGCAUAGACCAAUUUCUCAUUUCAUCUUCUCGAGAGAAGAUUGGAUAACUGAUCUGUGGUUUCAUGUGUUCUAAACUCCAGCUUUCUAAAUUUGCAUGGCAGACUUUAUGAGAAGUCAUGUCCUUUCAAGAAAGUCAACAAGGUCCCUGUUUACUAACCUAUUGGCUGCUACCCUUGAAUCUCCCUUUUUACUUUCUUAAGCGGGCCAUCGUUAUUUGAGGGUAAUCCUUCGCUACUUUUCAUGGACUUCAUCCACUGGUGAAAACCGAC